ACAGCCCUGGGAGGUGAAUUACUUACAGAUUGUUUCUGCUUUCUACUUUGCAAUGAUAAAACCAGCAUGGCUAAAUGACUUCCCCGAGCAAAAGGGAAAUGCAUGCCAGAGACAGGACAACACUUUUUCUCUGCUAACCUAAAUUCCCCAGGAACUGCUGAGACGUGGGGACUUUGACCUGAGUGGCUGUAUUUUGUCUGAAGCUAACAGCUGCUGCUGUAGCUCUGAGGUGGAGUCCAGCCACGCUGUGAAGGAGGCUCCCUGCCCGUGAACUCCGAAACACAAGAGAAAGAGCAGAGACAGUAACCUGUUGACCACAUGUGGCUGAAGCUGAGGAGAGGAGAGGAGAGGAGAGGAGGGGAGAGGAGAG